CAUGACAAGAUAAUAACAGAUGGAUACUUGGCGUCCGUGUGUCGAUAAAGUAUUGCCAUGGAAAAUAUCGUGAUACUAUGCUGUAUCGAUUUUUCCCCCCACCACUACU